rnacentral:rRNA from 1 species
AGUGAACGCUGGCGGUAGGCCUAACACAUGCAAGUCGAACGGCAGCACAGUAAGAGCUUGCUCUUACGGGUGGCGAGUGGCGGACGGGUGAGGAAUACAUCGGAAUCUACUUUUUCGCGGGGGAUAACGUAGGGAAACUUACGCUAAUACCGCAUACGACCUACGGGUGAAAGCAGGGGAUCUUCGGACCUUGCGCGAUUGAAUGAGCCGAUGUCGGAUUAGCUAGUUGGCGGGGUAAAGGCCCACCAAGGCGACGAUCCGUAGCUGGUCUGAGAGGAUGAUCAGCCACACUGGAACUGAGACACGGUCCAGACUCCUACGGGAGGCAGCAGUGGGGAAUAUUGGACAAUGGGCGCAAGCCUGAUCCAGCAAUACCGCGUGGGUGAAGAAGGCCUUCGGGUUGUAAAGCCCUGUUGUUGGGAAAGAAAAACAGCAGGUUAAUCCCCCGCUGUUCUGACGGUACCCAAAGAAUAAGCACCGGCUAACUUCGUG